UACGUAGGGUGCAAGCGUUAUCCGGAAUUAUUGGGCGUAAAGAGCUCGUAGGCGGUUUGUCGCGUCUGCUGUGAAAACUGGAGGCUCAACCUCCAGCCUGCAGUGGGUACGGGCAGACUAGAGUGCGGUAGGGGAGAUUGGAAUUCCUGGUGUAGCGGUGGAAUGCGCAGAUAUCAGGAGGAACACCGAUGGCGAAGGCAGAUCUCUGGGCCGUUACUGACGCUGAGGAGCGAAAGCGUGGGGAGCGAACAGG
rnacentral:rRNA from 1 species